rnacentral:rRNA from 1 species
AUUGAACGCUGGCGGCAUGCUUUACACAUGCAAGUCGAACGGUAACGCGGGGCAGCCUGGCGACGAGUGGCGAACGGGUGAGUAAUGCAUCGGAACGUGCCCGGUAGUGGGGGAUAACUGCUCGAAAGAGCAGCUAAUACCGCAUACGACCUGAGGGUGAAAGGGGGGGAUCGCAAGACCUCUCCCUAUUGGAGCGGCCGAUGUCGGAUUAGCUAGUUGGUGGGGUAAGGGCCCACCAAGGCGACGAUCCGUAGCUGGUCUGAGAGGACGACCAGCCACACUGGGACUGAGACACGGCCCAGACUCCUACGGGAGGCAGCAGUGGGGAAUUUUGGACAAUGGACGCAAGUCUGAUCCAGCCAUGCCGCGUGCGGGAAGAAGGCCUUCGGGUUGUAAACCGCUUUUGUCAGAGAAGAAAUCUUCUGGGUUAAUACCUCGGGAGGAUGACGGUAUCUGAAGAAUAAGCACCGGCUAACUACGUGCCAGCAGCCGCAGUAAGAC